GACGAACGCUGGCGGCGUGCUUAACACAUGCAAGUCGAACGAUGAAGCCUAGCUUGCUAGGUGGAUUAGUGGCGAACGGGUGAGUAAUACGUGAGUGACCUACCUUUGACUCUGGGAUAAGCCUGGGAAACUGGGUCUAAUACCGGAUACGACCAAUCUCCGCAUGGGGUGUUGGUGGAAAGCGUUAUGGAGUGGUUUUAGAUGGGCUCACGGCCUAUCAGCUUGUUGGUGAGGUAAUGGCUUACCAAGGCGACGACGGGUAGCCGGCCUGAGAGGGUGACCGGCCACACUGGGACUGAGACACGGCCCAGACUCCUACGGGAGGCAGCAGUGGGGAAUAUUGCACAAUGGGCGCAAGCCUGAUGCAGCGACGCCGCGUGAGGGAUGACGGCCUUCGGGUUGUAAACCUCUGUUAGCAUCGAAGAAGCGAAAGUGACGGUAGGUGCAGAGAAGGCGCCGGCUAACUACGUG
rnacentral:rRNA from 1 species